GGCAAAGUAGCUCAAUGGUAGAGCAGUUGCCUCACAUGUGCAAGACGCCUGGGUUCAAUCCCUAGUACCA
rfam:Ictidomys tridecemlineatus contig087678, whole genome shotgun sequence.